rnacentral:tRNA from 1 species
GCGUCCGUAGCUCAGUUGGUUAGAGCACCACCUUGACAUGGUGGGGGUCGGUGGUUCGAGUCCACUCGGACGGA